UCUUACAGGUAAGCUGAAGUUCUUCAAGUGCAUCUGUUAGUCGUAACAUACUUGUAUAGAUGGUACACUGGUGUCAGAAAAGAUUUACAGAAGUAUCAAAUAGAAUAAUACUUUCAGCACGAAUGAAACAGAGAAGAAUUUAUUUUCAUGAAAAUUAUCUUCCCCUUCAUACAUGUCAUAGGCCACAUGACAGAUCCUAACAGGAAAGCUGAAGUUCGCCAAGCUCAUCAGCUGUUAGUCGUUACAUAGUUUAUAGAGGGUACACCGGUGUCAAAAAGAUUUACAGAAGUUAAACAAUACUUUCAAUACGAAUGAAACAGAGAACAAGGUUUAUUUACAAAAAAACGCAUGAAGUCAACCAUCCUCAUUAAAGUGGCAACACGAAUGACACGAAAAAAAUAGAAAGUAACUCUCUUUAUGAAAAAGUCAACUAAAUCAAUGUACAACGAGAACAGCUGUUCCACGAUCGUGUUGCAUUCACAACAUACUACAAGGUAA